GGGGCGGGGGUCCCGGGCCUGGUCCCUGCUCGUGCUCCGUGCCACCCGGCCCGGCCGCGGCACCGCCCCGCGGCGCCCGGGCCCAGGUCCUAUGGCUUCCUUCGCUUUCCCCGUAGUUGGGAGAAGCCGAUAGGGUGUGGGGAAAAAAAAAGAAAAAAGAAAAAAAAAGGACAUAUAAAAUCAAGGUAAUUUUCAAUAAUCUUCAUGCUAUUUAUUUUGCAGUAUUUCUGCACUGGCUAUUCUACUCAUGAUAAAAUGUGUAAAAAUAAACUGUCUUCUUUCUGCAGUUUACCAGAAGUGUAGCUUCAAUGAAUAUAUUUGUGAAGUGUCCACAGAACUUACAUACUUGCUAUGACUUUGUGCCCUGCUGCUUACAGCCAGGCUGUGUCACGUUUUCUCAAAAAGUUACUGGUUUUAUCAAUUUCAAAUGGAUAGGACACAUGCUAUAGAAAAUAUAGGCAUCAGAUCCUGUUCUCCAGAAACUUUCUCAGCCUACAUAAAUUGCUAAUAAUAUACAGCAGAAAUACUGAAGUCCUGCAAAUAUGCACACGUUUUGCUCCCAUCAGGUUACAAAGCUAUGCCAGACUUGGUAGUAUGUGCCAUCUCAUCAACAAAACUCAGCUUUCUGAUUCAGUCUUUCAUUUGUUACAAACCUUACUUCAUAUGUUGAUCUUACAUAUACAAACGAUCACUGGAGAGACCACAGACAAGUUCUCUUAUGAUAUACAGAAUUCCAGACAGAAAGAAGCAAAUUGGCAAGAAGUUCCCAGCUACAUGCACAGCACAGGGCAGCAGAGAUGGCAGUUACCGCUCUAUACCCUAGGAAUCAAAGCACAGAAAAUCUCAGGGGAGGCUGCAAGAUUGCACAAGAGUCAGUAACACAAUAGGAGAGGAUCAAGACGAGCACUUUUUGAAAUGUGUAAGUUUUUGGAAAGCCUGUUUAAAUUCUUCAUUAAAAGCUGUAUAAAUGAC